GACUCUCGGCAACGGAUAUCUCGGCUCACGCAUCGAUGAAGAACGUAGCAAAAUGCGAUACUUGGUGUGAAUUGCAGAAUCCCGUGAACCAUCGAGUUUUUGAACGCAAGUUGCGCCCGAAGCCAUCCGGUUGAGGGCACGCCUGCCUGGGCGUUAACACAUCG
rnacentral:rRNA from 1 species